AGCGGCGGCGGCGGCCAUGGCCAGCCGCUUCACCCUCAUCAACGAGCUCCGCGAGCUCAUCGCCGCAUCCUCCUCCACCGCCUCCGCCUCCGCGCAUCUCGAGGUCAAGCCCCGCGAGGUCCUCCCCAACCUCCUCCGCGACUACGUCGUCCCCUCCCCCAACGCCACCGAGAUGGAACUCAGGGAAGUCACCGCGGUGCUGAGGCUGGUCGCAUACACUGCGCUCAAGUUUCCGGGGGUGUUCUACCAAGGCCGCGCCGCCGACGUCAUCAGCAUCAUCGGCGGCAUCCUCCCCUCCCUCGCUGAGCCCUAUUUCCGGUAGUGUCUCGUCCCCCCCCCCCCCCCACCCCUCUUCCUCCUCAAAACCCUAGCCCAACCGCUCCUCACGCUAAAGGUUUCUUGGAUCCUUGCUUGCGCGAUUUGAUUGUGAUGGCAUCUAUUAGUACCAUAGUAGCGGUGGCGGUAUAUCUGUGCUGUGAUCGCGACCACGUGUUGACAUUUCUCGCUUGGUUGUAUACUUUUGCUAAACUGUAGACAAAUGUACUUCAUUUGCUAUGCAGCGGCGUUGCCUAUUGUCCACUUGAUACUCGUUUCCCAUCCAGACGUGGGAAUGUGGGAUGGGUUAAGCUGAUAAUGUGUGUGGGUGUGGUUUAGGCCAAAGGUGCAAAUGGUCACUGCUCACUAGUGCAGCUGGCUACCUGUGUAUUAAUUUACCAGAAUAGAAAGCUACCUGCGUUAUUCUGUAUUCAAAAUAGGCGAUGCUGUAUUCGAUCGUCGGACACGAAAUUUGAAUUUAAAUUAAAUCCAGAGGCAGCUGUUCUUAUAAUUCUGGCGGGGUUUGAGAUCAAUGGAAACCGCAAUGUGACACACUGCCUCCCUCUACCUAAUGCGAAAAUCCUUAAUACUCCAUCCAUAUAAGUUGUUUUAACCUUUUUCAACUCUUCUUCAAAUAUGUGUCAUUCCACAACCUCGAGACACUUUUCUCCUUUUGUUCCUAUUUUGCCCAUGCUAAAUAAAUGCCUUUCUAAUAAUUAAAUGUACCAUCUUUCCCCAUGUUUUCCACAUGGGGAUUGGGGAGAGAAUUCAGAAUUAGUUGCACUUAAAGAAAACAACCUGAGAAGUAUGGCAAUUGGAAGAGGUAUCGCCUAAUAGUAUCAAGUAUGUUAUGUGUCAAGUUGUAGCUGCUUUCAUUCCAUCUUUGGAAAGGUGCAGAGGAUGCCCUUCUGUGCACUUGAGAAAAAUUGUUGAAAUCCUAGAAGAACUUAUUGUGAAAAACAAUAGCUUACUGAAGCAACAUAUACGGGAACUUCCGCUGUUGCCUAGCUUACCAUCUUUAUCAGAAAUAAACAAGGUAAUACAGGGAAGCUAGAGGGCUAAUGACGCUGCAAGAUCAUGUGAAGGAUACAUGGUAGCUUAAAUGUGAAGCUUGUUGCAAGAUCAUCCGAAGGAUACAUGGUAGCUUAAAUGUGAAGCUAGUUGCAAGAUCAUCCGAAGGAUACAUGGUAGCUUAAAUGUGAAGCUAGUUGCAAGAUCAUCUGAAGGAUACAUGGUAGCUUAAAUGUGAAGCUAGUUGCAAGAUCAUCUGAAGCUAGUUGGUGGUCUUAAUCGUGAGAGCUUAAAUGUGAGGUACAAGGUAGCUUCUGAGUUUUGCAAAUUAUUCAAUGCCAGAAGGGAGGAUAUUACUGCUCUCAUCGUUGGUGAAGAUAUUGCUGAUUUGGAUGUAAUAAGCUUUAUAUCAGAACCUUUGCAGUAGUACCACUUACAGAAGAUUGUGGAAUGGUAGAAUGGGUACCCAAUACUCGUGGUCUUCGGCAUAUCCUUCAGGACAUCUACACUACUUGUGGGAAGUUUGAUAGGUUGAAAACAAAUCCACAAAUCAAGAAGAUAUAUGAUGUAUACCAUGGUAAAAUGCCUGACGAUGAGAUGCUGAAGACUAAAAUCCUUCCAAUGUUUCCCCCAGUUUUCCACAAAUGGUUCUCGACAACAUUCUCUGAACCAGCUGCAUGGUUUCGUGCUAGAGUGGCAUAUGCGCAUACCACUGCUGUGUGGUCGAUGGUCGGGCACAUUGUUGGGCUUGGUGACAGACACGGUGAAAACAUCCUUUUAGAUUUGACGACUGGGGACUGUGUUCAUGUGGAUUUUAGCUGCUUAUUCGAUAGGGGCUUGCUCCUUGACAAGCCUGAGGUGGUGCCAUUUAGGCUUACGCAGAACAUGAUUGAUGGCUUGGGCAUCACUGGAUAUGAAGGCGUAUUUCUUAAGGUCUGAAAUUACUCUAUCGGUUCUCAGAACUCACAAGGAGACCCUCAUGACUGUUCUUGAGACCUUUAUCCAUGAUCCACUAGUAGAGUGGACCAAAUCUCACAAAUCUAGUGGAGGCGAAGUCCAAAACCCACACGCACAGAGGGCUAUUACUAACAUCAAAGGAAGGCUCCAGGGAGUUGUCGUGGGUGUUAAGGCCAGCCCUUCCCUGCCGCUCUCCGUGGAAGGGCAAGCACGCCGCCGGAUCGCGGAAGCGGUCUCCCUCGGCAACCUUGGUAAAAUGUACAUCUGGUGGAUGCCUUGGUCCUGACAGGCUAUCAGUGAGACUGGAUUCUGUGCGGCUGAGUAAGAACUGUACAGAUGUGUGAUUGAUUGCUUACUUACUUUGCCGCAAUAAGGUUGGUUAGUCUCAAACCUGCUUGGCCAUGGAAAUAUGGAAUACCGAGAUGCCAAACUCAGAUGAAUGAUUGUUCUUAUCAUACCAGCCGCAGAAGAUCUCAGCAGGUUUGUGGGGCCCGGAGGGUGUGGCAAACUUUGACCCACAAAUGCGUCUGAAUCGAAAACGGCUUUGGGUCAGCAGCAGCGGCUGGGUCAGGUUCCCUGCUCAUCACACAUCGGCAUGCAAGUCUGCUGGGUGUGGCCCACAUGCCCCACGUGUCCUCCCUCCUCUCUCAUGGCCAUGGGCCUUCUUGAGUUGGGGGUACACCUGUGAUUCUGUCCGAGGUGGUGACAUCAGGAUGCUGACUGCUCAGCAUGGCUCACCGCAUCAGCUCAUGGACUUCACUUGAGGCGAGUGUUUAAGAGUGAGAGCUUAGGUUGAGCAGCUUGUAUAAUUAAUGCUUUAAUAACACUUAAAAAUAGACUCUCUUUACUUAUGAGUUUGUACUAUGAGUUCAUCAUG